rnacentral:tRNA from 1 species
UGCGGUAGCUCAGUGGUAGAGCACCUCAUUGGUAAUGAGGAGGUCGAGAGUUCAAUCCUCUCUCGCA